rnacentral:rRNA from 1 species
GACGAACGCUGGCGGCGUGCUUAACACAUGCAAGUCGAACGGAAAGGCCCCUUUGGGGGUACUCGAGUGGCGAACGGGUGAGUAACACGUGCGUAACCUGCCCUUGACUUCGGGAUAACUUCAGGAAACUGGGGCUAAUACCGGAUAGGAAUCCUUGCUGCAUGGUGGGGGUUGGAAAGCUUCGGCGGUUUUGGAUGGACUCGCGGCUUAUCAGCUUGUUGGUGGGGUAGUGGCUUACCAAGGCUUUGACGGGUAGCCGGCCUGGGAGGGCGACCGGCCACAUUGGGACUGAGAUACGGCCCAGACUCCUACGGGAGGCAGCAGUGGGGAAUAUUGCACAAUGGGCGGAAGCCUGAUGCAGCAACGCCGCGUGCGGGAUGACGGCCUUCGGGUUGGAAACCGCUUUCAGCAGGGGCGAAGCUUGUGGUGACGGUACCUGCAGAAGAAGCACCGGCUAACUACGUG